AACAUUCAUUGUUGUCGGUGGGUUGUGAGGAGAAGACCAGACCCACCGGGGGAUGAAUGUCA
rnacentral:pre_miRNA from 1 species